UACGUGGUGGGCAAGCGUUGUUCGGAAUUACUGGGCGUAAAGGGCUCGUAGGCGGCCAACUAAGUCAAACGUGAAAUCCCUCGGCUUAACCGGGGAACUGCGUCUGAUACUGGAUGGCUUGAGUUUGGGAGAGGGAUGCGGAAUUCCAGGUGUAGCGGUGAAAUGCGUAGAUAUCUGGAGGAACACCGGUGGCGAAGGCGGCAUCCUGGACCAACACUGACGCUGAGGAGCGAAAGCCAGGGGAGCAAACGGG
rnacentral:rRNA from 1 species